rnacentral:rRNA from 1 species
UUCGAUUAAGCCAUGCGAGUCGCGAGUCUUAGGGACUCGGCGUACCGCUCAGUAACACGUGGGUAACCUGCCCUAUGCUGGGGAAUAACCUCGGGAAACUGAGAAUAAUGCCCCAUAGUUCACCACGCCUGGAACGGUGGGUGGAUCAAAGCUCCGGCGGCAUAGGAUGGGCCUGCGGCGUAUCAGGUCGUAGGGGGUGUAAUGUACCCUCUAGCCAUCGACGCGUACGGGUGUUGGGAGACAUUGCCCGGAGAUGGAUUCUGAGACACGAAUCCAGACCCUACGGGGUGCAGCAGGCGCGAAAACUUGGCAAUGCGAGAAGUCGUGACCAGGGAACUCCAAGUGCAUCGGGUAAGACCGAUGCUUUUCUUGACUCUUCAACGGUCUUGGAAUAAGGGGUGGGUAAGGACGGUGCCAGCCGCCGCGGUAAUACCGGCGCCUCAAGUGGUAGUCGCUUUUAUUGGGCCUAAAACGUCCGUAGCCGGUUUGGUACAUUCGUGGGUAAAUCAAGGCGCUCAACGUCUUGAAUUCUGCGAGCACGGCCAGACUUGGGACCGGGUGAGGUGUGGGGUACUCUCAGGGUAGGGGUAAAAUCCUGUCAUCCUGAGAGGACCACCUGUUGCGAAGGCGCCACACUAGAACGGAUCCGACGGUCAGGGACGAAGCCUAGGGGCACGAACCGGAUUAGAUACCCGGGUAGUCCUAGGUGUAAACGCUGUGGACUUGAUGUUGGGAAUGCUCCGAGCACCCUCAGUGUCGAAGCGAAGGUGAUAAGUCCACUGCCUGGGGAGUACGGUCGCAAGGCUGAAACUUAAAGGAAUUGGCGGGGGAGCACUGCAACCUGAGGAUUGUGCG